AUGAACGUUAGCGGCGCGCCUGAUGCAUGCAAGUCGAACGCCCAAGUCGUCCGCAAGGAUGACAAGGGAGUGGCGAACGGCUGAGUAACGCGUAAGUAACCUACCUCCAAGUGGGGAAUAACUUGCCGAAAGGCAGGCUAAUUCCGCAUGUGCUGAUAAGCGAAUAGUUUUUCAGUAAAGCUUUCGAGCGCUUAGAGAAGGGCUUGCGUCUGAUUAGCUAGUUGGUGGGGUAACGGCCUACCAAGGCGAUGAUCAGUAGCUGGUCUUAGAGGACGACCAGCCAGACAGGGACUGAGACACGGCCCUGACUCCUACGGGAGGCAGCAGCAAGGAAUUUUGCGCAAUGGGCGAAAGCCUGACGCAGCGACGCCGCGUGGGGGAUGAAGGCCCUCGGGUUGUAAACCCCUUUUCCCGAAGAAGAAUUAUGACGGUACUCGGGGAAUAAGUCUUGGCUAACUACGU
rnacentral:rRNA from 1 species